rnacentral:tRNA from 3 species
GCGGGCGUGGUGAAAUUGGUAAACACAAGGGACUUAAAAUCCCUCGGCCUUACGGCCUUGUCGGUUCAAGUCCGACCGCCCGCACCA